rnacentral:rRNA from 1 species
UGGGUCUCGCUCGUUACCUGACUUAACAGGAUGCUUCACAGUACGAACUGACGACGGCCAUGCACCACCUCUCAGCUAAUCCGGCAAAGUCUUCAGCCUGGCCUUCAUAUUGCUGUCGGUCCCGGUAAGAUUUCCGGCGUUGAAUCCAAUUAAACCGCAAGCUCCACCCGUUGUGGUGCUCCCCCGCCAAUUCCUUUAAGUUUCAGCCUUGCGGCCGUACUUCCCAGGUGGCUCGCUUCACGGCUUCCCUACGGCACCGACAACGGUCGCACCGUGGCCGACACCUAGCGAGUAUCGUUUACGGCUAGGACUACCCGGGUAUCUAAUCCGGUUCGUGCCCCUAGCUUUCGUCCCUUGCCGUCAGGUCCGUUCUGGUGAGACGCCUUCGCCACUGGUGGUCCUUCAAGGAUUACAAGAUUUCACCCCUACCCCUGAAGUACCUCUCACCUCUCCCGGCCUCGAGCCAGACAGUAUCUCCUGAAAGCCUGACAGUUAAGCUGCCAGAUUUUCUCAAGAGACUUAUCCGGCCGGCUACAGACCCUUUAGACCCAAUAAUAACGGUUACCACUCGAGCCGCCGGUGUUACCGCGGCGGCUGGCACCGGUCUUGCCCGGCCCUUGCUAUGAAAUGCUUUUUAGGCAUCUCGACAGCCAGAUUUGUAACCUGGCACUCGAGGUUCCCUUAUCGCUGUUGCCAGCAUUGUAAAGUUUUCGCGCCUGCUGCCCCCGUAGGGCCUGGAUUCGUGUCUCAGAAUCCAUCUCCGGGCUCUUGCUCUCACAACCCGUACCCGUCGUAGGCUAGUAGGUACGCUACACCCACUACUACCUGAUAGGCCGCAGACCCAUCCUUAGGCGCCGGGAGCUUUUAAUCUCGGUGCAUUCCGGCAGCCGAGACUUAUAGGG